rnacentral:rRNA from 1 species
UACGGAGGUGGCAAGCGUUGCUCGGAAUCACUGGGCGUAAAGGGCGCGUAGGCGGGGAGGUAAGUCGGGUGUGAAAUCCCUCGGCCCAACUGAGGAACUGCGCCCGAGACUGCUUCUCUUGAGUCCCGGAGAGGAAGAUGGAAUUCCCGGUGUAGCGGUGAAAUGUGUAGAGAUCGGGAGGAACACCUGUGGCGAAGGCGGCCGACUGGGCCGACCCUGACGCUGAGGCGCGAAGGCGUGGGGAGCGAACGGG